AUUAACUGAAUCCAUAGGUUAAUGAGGCGAACCGGGGGAACUGAAACAUCUAAGUACCCCGAGGAAAAGAAAUCAACCGAGAUUCCCCCAGUAGCGGCGAGCGAACGGGGAGGAGCCCAGAGCCUGAAUCAGCAUGUGUGUUAGUGGAAGCGUCUGGAAAGGCGCGCGAUACAGGGUGACAGCCCCGUACACAAAAGCGCAUGUGCUGUGAGCUCGAUGAGUAGGGCGGGACACGUGGUAUCCUGUCUGAAUAUGGGGGGACCAUCCUCCAAGGCUAAAUACUCCUGACUGACCGAUAGUGAACCAGUACCGUGAGGGAAAGGCGAAAAGAACCCCGGCGAGGGGAGUGAAAAAGAACCUGAAACCGUGUACGUACAAGCAGUGGGAGCACAGGUUUACCUGUGUGACUGCGUACCUUUUGUAUAAUGGGUCAGCGACUUAUAUUCUGUAGCAAGGUUAACCGAAUAGGGGAGCCGGAGGGAAACCGAGUCUUAAUUGGGCGUUAAGUUGCAGGGUAUAGACCCGAAACCCGGUGAUCUAGCCAUGGGCAGGUUGAAGGUUGGGUAACACUAACUGGAGGACCGAACCGACUAAUGUUGAAAAAUUAGCGGAUGACCUGUGGCUGGGGGUGAAAGGCCAAUCAAACCGGGAGAUAGCUGGUUCUCCCCGAAAGCUAUUUAGGUAGCGCCUCGUGAAUUCAUCUCCGGGGGUAGAGCACUGUUUCGGCUAGGGGGCCAUCCCGGCUUACCAACCCGAUGCAAACUGCGAAUACCGGAGAAUGUUAUCACGGGAGACACACGGCGGGUGCUAACGUCCGUCGUGAAGAGGGAAACAACCCAGACCGCCAGCUAAGGUCCCAAAGUCAUGGUUAAGUGGGAAACGAUGUGGGAAGGCCCAGACAGCCAGGAUGUUGGCUUAGAAGCAGCCAUCAUUUAAAGAAAGCGUAAUAGCUCACUGGUCGAGUCGGCCUGCGCGGAAGAUGUAACGGGGCUAAACCAU
rnacentral:rRNA from 1 species